rnacentral:piRNA from 1 species
CCCAGCUAGUAGGAGCUCACAGU